rnacentral:rRNA from 1 species
AUUGAACGCUGGCGGCAGGCCUAACACAUGCAAGUCGAGCGAGUGGCGGACGGGUGAGUAAUGUCUGGGAACCUGCCCGAUGGAGGGGGAUAACUACUGGAAACGGUAGCUAAUACCGCGUCCUAUCGGAUGUGCCCAUAUGGGAUUAGCUUGUAGGUGAGGUAAGGGCUCACCUAGGCGACGAUCCCUAGCUGGUCUGAGAGGAUGACCAGCCACACUGGGACUGAGACACGGCCCAGACUCCUACGGGAGGCAGCAGUGGGGAAUAUUGCACAAUGGGCGCAAGCCUGAUGCAGCCAUGCCGCGUGUAUGAAGAAGGCCUUCGGGUUGUAAAGUACUUUCAGCGGGGAGGCGUUACCGGCAGAAGAAGCACCGGCUAACUCCGUGCCAGCAGCCGCGGUAAUUC